rnacentral:rRNA from 1 species
UGACCUCGGAUCAGGUAGGGAUACCCGCUGAACUUAAGCAUAUCAAUAAGCGGAGGAAAAGAAACCAACAGGGAU